rnacentral:rRNA from 1 species
UACGUAGGGCGCAAGCGUUGUCCGGAAUUAUUGGGCGUAAAGAGCUCGUAGGCGGUCUGUUACGUCCGCUGUGAAAACCCAGGGCUUAACCCUGGGCUUGCAGUGGAUACGGGUAGACUAGAGGCAGGUAGGGGAGAAUGGAAUUCCCGGUGUAGCGGUGAAAUGCGCAGAUAUCAGGAGGAACGAGCCGAGUGGCGAAGGCGGUCUCCUGGGC